UACGUAGGCAGCAAGCGUUGUUCGGAAUUACUGGGCGUAAAGGGUGCGUAGGCGGCUUUUUAAGUUUGGUGUGAAAUCUCCCGGCUCAACUGGGAGGGUGCGCCGAAUACUGAGAAGCUAGAGUGUGGGAGAGGAAAGUGGAAUUCCUGGUGUAGCGGUGAAAUGCGUAGAUAUCAGGAGGAACACCGGGGUGUAAACGGCUUUCUGGACCAUAACUGACGCUGAGGCACGAAAGCGUGGGUAGCAAACAGG
rnacentral:rRNA from 1 species